AUACAGAUUACACAGUAAUGCCAUCUUAAAUUUUCUUUCUUUUUCCUCAGUCUUACCACAAGAACAAUGGUAAUGUUGUAAAUUUUCUAGUAAAACGCUUAUAUAUAUUAUGGGCGGAAAAUAUACCUUAUAUAUCUCACAUGAGGAUGUAGUACACUUUGGACUUGUGGAAGAAAUCGGCGCGUCUUGCAUUUCAUUCAAUAUCAGGUAAAUUUUAAAUUAAUAAACAUUAUAUAAAUUAGUUUCUUUUUAAGUAUAAAUAUAACAUCAUUAACUUUCAUGUGUGUAGUAUAAUAUGUUUCGAGUUGUCCGAUAGAGAGAUAUCACACUUUUUUGGUUUCAUUGAGCCAUUGUGGUCAUCGAUAAUUAGGGCAAAUAUGGAUAAUCGGGCUGAAAUUAUCUCAGAGUGUAUCAAUAACACAGUGAUGGGUCAACCUUGGUUAAUGACAUACCAUUUCUUACGUCACCGGAUGUUAGUGUUCAUUGAUCCAGAUGACCAUACUUGUUACUAUCUUAAUCCACUUAGAAAAUGUCCUCCAAAUGAUUUGAAGAACCUUAUGAACAGGUAAUACAUUUGAAACUCAUUUUAGAAUAUAAUAUGGUUAUUUAAUAUGGAAAUAAAAAAUUAAUAUGCUCUUAAUAUUGAUGUAUAUAUAGUGUCUCUUCACACAUUAAGUGAAAGAUAGGAAGGAAUAAAAAAAAAUUACAAGUAGAAAAUAGUCAAUUGCCCUCAUCAAACAUCGUCAGUAGAGUGCGGCUUUUAUAUCAUAAGGAUGAUGAAGGACUAUUGCUUGAAUGAGACACCCAUGCGAUGGCUAACUAGUAAUUGUGGUGGGAAGAAUACAUAUACACUUGGUGAAAUUAAUGAAACUCGAAAUGAAUGGGCAACCAAGCUUCUUGAGCGGAUGAGUCAUAGCUAGAGUAACUUUUGAAAUCAGAAUUAAAAAAUAUAUUAAUUUUUGUUUUUAGUUAGCACUUACAUAGUUAUUGCAAGUGUAUAUUUUGAUCUUAUAAUUUUUAGAUUUGGAACAUACUGAGUUCUAUUGAUUUUGUCUGUCUGUUGAUUCUGUCUGAACUAUGUUGUAAUUACACAGGAAAUUAUGAAUGAAUAUAGAGGUUGAAAAUAGAGAAAUAAAAAAAUUCUCAUAUUCUACAUGGGACGUCGGUCUCCACAAAACUGUCGUCUUAUGUAUGGCAGGGGACGAUGCUUGCACAUAAAUUGUCAUCUCAUGUACUAUAGGAGGAUGACGCCUGAGUAGGAACUGUCGUCUUAUUUACUGCAGUGGAUGACGCUUGCACAAAAACUGUCGUAUCAUGUACCACAAGAGACAACAAU